CUAGUUCACUGGGGGUUCAGUCUUAGCAGGACCCAGGGCUUCCCCUUCCACUGGUGCUCUUACUAGGAUAUGCAUUGCUACCUAUGAGGUCAGAGUCCAGGGUCAGUCUUUGGGAUAGGGGUUGUGGAUUUAGCUCAGUGGUAGAGCGCUUGCCUAGCAAACGCAAGGCCCUGGGUUCGGUCCCCAGCUCUGGAAAAAAAAAAAGAGGACUGGAUGCUCACAGUUGCUUCUAAUCUCGUUGGUUUUCUGGAACGCUGGAGUCUGGUUCUUACUGCAGUCCUUUACUGGUUGUGUUUCUUAUCUCUGUAAACCACACACCCAGCAGAAGGACUUAAUGGUAGGUGGUGGACUCCUCACAUCUGGCACAUCAGGAAGCAGAGGGCUCAGGUGGGGGCGGAAGCAGAGAGCCUCCAGGAUGGCUACCACUUCUGCCAGGUAGCACACACGCGCUAAAGGUUCUGUCACCUUCCACCACAGACUCCCAGUUAGAACCCCAGUGUUCAAACAUGUCCACCCAUGGGGGGUAAAUUUCUUACUCAAUACAACACUGUGAGAACUGGCCCAAGUUGACUAAUCCAAAUUCAGUCCCCUCUUGGUUUGACCUCCUGAGGUAAAGCUGCACCUGAGGGCUUGUGCUCCCUACUCUCCUGAGCAUUUAGGCCUCUGUAUGUUAUGGGAGGAUUUGACGUUGUUGUUGUUGUUGUUGCAGGCCUGAAGGCAGGAAUAGCAGUUCUUCUAGGGUAUCUGGGCUGGACCAGAGCAAGUGAACUCAGGUCCGAUGACAGCAGCAGCUCAACUUGACACUGUCACCGGAAGAGCAGAAGCGCUCCAUUGAUCUCUUAGCAGGGAACCUCAGCUCAUAUAGAACCAGACACUCAGCGUCAGUGUAGAAAAUCAUAUCAAGAUAAGGAAGUAGGCAGCAGAGCUGAAAUUUAUUAAAAGUCAAAAGUCAGCUACUCAGAGAAGAGGAAAGAACAGAGAGCAUGGGUGUGGUCUUCCAGGAAGAGCUCCAAAUUAUUAAAGACAUAUACGUUAAACACAGGGGUUAAGGAAAGAAAGGUGCCCGUGGGAGAAAAAGAGACACGCAAGUGUCAGUGCGAGCGUCUCAGGGGAGAGCCAUAUAGGGUUCUUUCAGCCACGCAUGCACUUUUGGUGGCUCUCAGGACAUCUCAAAGCACUGCUAAGAGCUUGUUUUUUCCUUUUCUCUGUCUUUUUGAUAAGUGAGAUUGUAGGGUUAUGACAGAGGAGCCUUGGAUGGAAUUAUCUGAUAAAAUCAGGAGCCGUUAGGGCUGGGCACAGGGCUCAGGACUUUUUUUUUUUUUUUUUUUUUUUAAUUGUAAAUGGGAUUUCUGGUUGUGAGUCCUAGAAAACUGUAGGUUUAGAGUUGGGAAGAGAGAAAAGCCUUAAGCAAAUGUGCUUAUUUGAAAAUACCUUUAUAAAAAUGGAUGGUGUGUCUGUGUAGGCAAUUGGUACAGUUGGUACAGUUGUACAGUUGAUACGGUUGGUACAGUUAGUACAGUUGGUAUGGUUAGUAGAGUUGGUACAGUUGGUACAGUUGAUACAGUUGGUACAGUUGGUAUAAUUGGUACCAUUGGUACCAUUAAUAUAGUUGGUACAGUUGGUAAAGUUGUACAGUUGGUACAGUUGGUACUAUUGGUACCAUUGGUACAGUUUGUACAGUUGGUACAGUUAGUAUAGUUGGUACAGUUGGUAUGGCAAAUGCUGGCAGUUUUACCAGAGUUCUCAAUUCUCAGAAGAUCAAAGACUUAAACCAGAAUCCUGGGUGCUGGACUCUGCCCCUCACCUCAUGUUCCCAUAAUUUUCACCAUCUCUCCUUCUAUCCUGCCUCACAAAGGACCAUGGUAUCUAGCAGAAAAGGGAAUAGUCAUGGUAUUUCUGCUAGAAAGAGUUAUAUGGUGUAGCUGGGUGUUGUUUUGUUUGUUUUUAACUGUUUAGUCUCUGGCAAUGCAACUCUCUAGCCCUGGAAUAUCCUGUAGAUAUUUUCUGUGCCUCCUCCUCCUCUUCCCCCUCCUCUUCCUUUUGCUUUGAGCAUCCUUAUGUAGCCCAGGCUGCCUUGAACUUGAAAUCUUUCUCUAUAAGCCUCUUUUGUGCUACAAUUAACAUACAUGGCCUUAAUAUUUUGUAUGUUUUGAUUCAGUUGGCUGAAGUGGAUUUUGUUUGCAACCAGAAACCUUAACUGGCUGACUUGUCUUCCUUUUCUUGCCUGUCCUGGGGCACAUCACAGAAUAACUUGUCAUCUUAUGAAUCUUUAUGCUUCUCCUGACAGGCUGCAGACUUUCUCUAAGCUCUGCUAAUCCCAUGGUCUCUGUUUGGGCUUCACCCCACUUGGCUAGCCAACUGUAAAGAGAGAAUUUUCCAUAGAGAUUACGAUUCCUUCCACCCACAGGGCCUUCCUGCAGGAGAUGAAAGCUUUUAGAUUAUGGUUUCAUUUGUCCAGAAAAUUGGGAUUUUUACAGGGAAGGUUACAUUAGUCCUGUUUAUCCUUUUCUAUACUUUUUGAUGUGUUGAUACCUGGUCUUACAGACCUGGGUCUUACAGACACUGUCCUCCCAGGCUUAGGAUAGAAGACAGAUCACCUUUAGUGUGCAACACAAUUAAUCCAGAGCCCAUAUACUCACCUCUUAUUUAUCUGGGACACUGUUUCCUACCAUAAAUCACCCCAAGCUAGACCCUAACCCUAGCGCCCAGGACCCAUUUCCCUCCCACCUUAUUCAAACUGGCCAACAGCAGGCUUGAUCAGACUCCUUCUCUGCCUCCACUGUCCUUCCAGCAAAAGCAGCACAGAGCGGCUAGCCCAGGCUUUCCUCCAUCCUUCUACCUCCUGGUGGACCCUGGUCGUCUUUUCUGUAUGCUCGCUCUCUCUCGCGCUCUCUCUCUCUCUCUCUCUCUCUCUCUCUCUCUCUCUCUCUCUCUCUCUCUCUGUGUGUGUGUGUGUGUGUGAGAGAGAGAGAGAGUCCUCUCCCAGAAUAAAAGGAUUAAGCUUUUCUUGUAAAUGCAAUUGUGUCUAUGUCUGAGCUCUUAUCAUUGCCAAGGAAAAUAAAUCCUGUGCAAAUCUUAAAAACACAGAGAGUGAAGUUGUUAGGGCACACGGUAAUGUUUUUCUGAAGACUUUGUCUCUUGCCGUAAAGUGGAUUUCCCAUCACAGAGCCUUGGUGGCAUGGCUGCCUUCUGCCUCCUGGAAGUCACUCACAGGGCUUUCCAUCAAUGGGUGCCCCUCACUUUUGGACAAAGUCUUUCAGUGUUAGGGACACCAAUGGAUUCAAGAUUUCCUUUGUUAAUUUUGUGCAUGCUGUCACACCUGGGUGUUAUGGGGACACUGGUGACCCAAAUCUCCCCAGCCCCUCUAGAAAUAUGUUUUUGGUGCUGUGUAUCUAAAUGCAGUGACUCCCUCUGGACCAGAUUAGUUUAUAGUAAUGAAGAAAACUGGCUCCUCAGCGGGAUGUUAGCAUUCCAGGUUAUUCACAUUCCCUGCCCUCUUUACCAGAAGAGAGGCUUGGUGAGUUUGCUUAUAUCCGAUAUAAAAUCAGAGUUCUCCUCAUCUCUGGGUGCUUUUCUUAAUGCACAUGCAUUGUGUGUGCAAAGCAACACUCAGCUCCUGAUGCAUUAUCCUAUUAAAUUGGGCACGCAGGGAUCCUGCACCCAAAUGUUCCCAGUGCUGUAAUUAAUAGUCUAUUACAUUUGGGUGCAUUUUCUGCUUGUUUGCCAGUCUUCAGAGGCAUGCAAACCAGCCCAGCUGUGGCAAUCGCUAAUUGGGAACGGCUGAUGGCCUGUAUGUGCGCGCUGUGUGCUAGGAUGAACCUAAUGGCUGCUUGAAUUUGCCUCAAGUACACUGAGAAAUUCCUGAGGGUGGGGACCGCACCUUCUCUCCCCAUCUGAUCAUCCUGUUUGCUAUAAUAGACAAGUGUUUUGGUGUUCAAAUAUCCCUCCUGCCCCCAAACUCUCUUCUUACCUGAUCAAGAAGAUUGGGGACCACUUUUUGCAUUGAUAGCUUCCGUCUGCUUGAAUGCUUCUGUUAUCUGUAACUCUGGGAUUUAAAGGCACACAGAGCUGGGGAGAUAAGUCUGAGUGAGGAAAAGUGCUUGUGCGAAAGCCUGACUGCCUUCCUUUGGACCUGGAACCCACAUAAACGGCAGACACAGUCACUCAAGCAUUUGUAAUCCUAGGCCACCUACAGGAAAGAGGUGAGGACAGGAAAAUCUCCAGAAGCUCACAAAUCAACUAGUUUGGCUUAUGCAGCAGGAAGGAGACUCUGUCUCUAUCAAGGUGGACAAUGAAGACUGAGUUGAGGCCAUUGUCCUCUGACCUCUACGUGUAUAGCAUGACCUGAGUAUGUCCACAUCCACACCCACAAACAGGCAUGUUCACACAUCUUAUACAUGCUCACAUACACAAAACAAACAAGGCACAUUUGUUGGGGUAGAAGUCUCGGCUCAAGUCCGGACAAACCACAACAGGCCAAAUGAUUCCACGUGGAAAGGUUUAAUGAGAGAAGAGUAGAAGAGGAGAGGAGUAAAGGCCGGACAUAAGCACGUGGAGGGAAGCAGGGAAGGGACUGUGGAGAGAAGGGACAAAGGGGAAGAGGGGAAGAGCAAGAGCAAGAGAACGAGGAGGGGGCAAGCAACCCCUUUUAUAGUGAGUCAGGCACACCUGGGCUGUUGCCAGGUAACUGUGGGGGUGGAGCUUAGACAGAAUGCUAACAACAUUGAUCUUACUAAGAUGCAGAGACAAGAACAACCCAACCAUUUCAGCUAGAAAAGAGGCCUGGGACCUUACAGUUUUGUGGCCAGAAAGGAGGGGCCACACACUGGGCUCCCCACAUAAGGAGUGGAGUCAGCAGGAAGGAUACAGAUAGCAAUCUACUCUCCUGACGGUGGGGAAGCUGCAGAGUCACUGCUCAGGGACUAGAGGCAGCCGUCCGGGCACCCUAAGACGUUGUCGCUGUUUGAGGGAAGCAGAGCGAUGAAGCAGGAAGUGGAUUUGCCUUUGACAGACUGGGAAGCUUUCUGAGGUCUUCGGUUUCUGACUUGACUCUUUGGAUUCUCAAUGGCCACAUUGGAGAAACUCGACUCCAGGCGGAAGAACCACCACAGCCAUGGCCACUGCCGAGAUCAUGAUACCACAGGCUUCAGGAAACCUUGCUCCCGAAACAACCACUUCAAGCAGCGUGCACUGUUCUGAAUGACUCCAAUCCAGGCAAGGCAACUCUUGACAAACUUUAGAAGAUCCUAUGCUCGCUCUGGCUGAGAGAUGGAGCCUCCAGAGGUGUUCAGCAAGAAACCUGGAGAUUGGCAUGAUGUAAGGCUUGUGAUUGGUUCAUAAGUUAGAGUUGGAGGAACUAAAGAAAGGCUGCGACUGGGAGACUUGUGCACACCAUGCCCCUUCACUAGCUAUACAAGCAGGCUAUUUCUCAGUCUUGUUAAAUUAGUCUGAGAUUCUCCUGUACCCCUGUACCCACUGUAACACUGGGCUAUAAUAAAAGCUUCAUGAGUUA